AAGGGAAUCUUCGGCAAUGGGGGGAACCCUGACCGAGCAACGCCGCGUGAGUGAAGAAGGUUUUCGGAUCGUAAAGCUCUGUUGUUAAGGAAGAACGAGUGUGAGAAUGGAAAGUUCAUACUGUGACGGUACUUAACCAGAAAGGGACGGCUAACUACGUGCCAGCAGCCGCGGUAAUACGUAGGUCCCGAGCGUUGUCCGGAUUUAUUGGGCGUAAAGCGAGCGCAGGCGGUUAGAUAAGUCUGAAGUUAAAGGCAGUGGCUCAACCAUUGUAGGCUUUGGAAACUGUUUAACUUGAGUGCAGAAGGGGAGAGUGGAAUUCCAUGUGUAGCGGUGAAAUGCGUAGAUAUAUGGAGGAACACCGGUGGCGAAAGCGGCUCUCUGGUCUGUAACUGACGCUGAGGCUCGAAAGCGUGGGGAGCGAACAGG
rnacentral:rRNA from 1 species